rnacentral:snRNA from 1 species
CCGGAACCGGGACGUGGCGG